rnacentral:rRNA from 1 species
UACGUAGGGUGCGAGCGUUAAUCGGAAUUACUGGGUUUAAAGGGUGCGUAGGUGGAUUUGUAAGUCAGUGGUGAAAUCUCCGAGCUUAACUCGGAAACUGCCAUUGAUACUAUAAGUCUUGAAUGUUCUGGAGGUGAGCGGAAUAUGUCAUGUAGCGGGGAAAUGCGUAGAUAUGACAGAGAACACCAAUUGCGAAGGCAGCUCACUACGGGAUUAUUGACACUGAGGCACGAAAGCGUGGGGAUCAAACAGG